UUUUUUGGGUCAUCUGACAUGCGUAUCUGUGGUUUCAACACCACACUUAAAUAAUAUCUCUUGCUGUGUUUUGGUGCCAGCAUAAAUUUAAGUCAUCCAAACAAGAUUGUAUAUUUGAACUGACAAAGAAUAAAUUAUUUGCAUCUGGCAUAACUGAUGGUUGUGUCAAAGCCCUAGCAUAUAAUUCUUAAUCUUAUAGAUGCCUGUUUACUUGUGCACAAGAUAGCUGAGCUGAGCCUCUUCCCAGAACAAUUACCAAGUUAUUGCUAUGGGCUAGCCUGGGACUUCCAGGGGAAGCACCAUAUAAAUGCUGCAGUCCUGGAGCACUCUGGAAGGCAUACUGUGAACUAGAGAUCAACACUCUGCUUUUUCCUCUUUAUUUUCCAAGUAAAAUGAGAAUGGGAGUGUGUCGGGCGGGCGCAGAGCUGCAGAUUAUGAGCAAUGCUGAUGGUCCUUCGGAGGGCACAGCCUCAUCAGUGACCCCACAUGAAAGAACCCCAGCACAGCUUCACAACUGGGCAGUGAGCACCGUGGGAGCACCACGUGGAAACAACACUCAAGUUUUACUUGGAAUCAGUAAUGAGACCAUUUAUCUACUCCACAACAUUAUCUGCACGUUAUCACGAUGCAAAUCCCCUUCCACAUGGAAAUGCUGUUGCAAGAACAUGAAAUUUUAGAUGAGCUCUUCCUUGAUGCUGUACCUGUCAAAUUAACUGUUUUUUUUUCCUUCAAAAGCUGUACUUCUACAUUAUACAAAUACUUCACAGGGACAUAGAUGCAGUGAGUCUAGGCUAACCUAUUUUACCAAUUUUUCAAUGCUAACAACAAAUUGUAGAAAAGGUACUUCCAAGCUUUCAAAAGUAAAAAUUUUUAAAUAGUACUUUAAUUCUAUUUUCAGUGAUACCUGUGAUGCCAUGUACGUGGAAAUGCAUGUGAAAGCAUAUCCAGAAUGUAUUGCUCCUGCAUGGUGUGGCAGAAAAAAAUAUCUAAAUUAUGCUUUCACCAUUUCUUAAGCCCCCCCCCGAUGCAAUGGUUCACCUACCAAGGCUGACCAGUACAUCCUCUGUCCUUUUUCAGAACAAUCACUCUGGAAUUCAAUUCAUUCAGUUCAAGAUUUUGCAGAACAACAAUCUUUCCAAUCUUUUCUUUUUCCUAGUUGAGUUUGUAAAGUAAUACCAGAAAAGGCAUGUGACCUGCAACAGAAAUGUAUCCCCUAUCUUCCAGCACACCAUUUCACAGGCUCCCCAUGUUGUUAUGCCUUUACACUGAACUAAUGGACCAUUUCCUUCUUCUACAAUGAGAUAAAUCUGUGUCUAUUUGCCUUUUAUUCAUCUGCAUGAGCUGGAAAAAAAACAAACAAAAAAACCACACCACCUUAUGUCCCAUCUCCGAUGACAUCAUUGAACAAGAUAAAAAAUUCUUCCUGACCCUGAUCCUCAGCAUCUGGACUGUUAAUAUUGUGCAGUCAGAUGGCUUGCAGUCUCACAGCGAAGUCAAUGCAAAGCUUUCCAUCCUUCUUUGGGUAUCAGACUGAACUGGGAACACAGUGGCAGUCAGGGGUGUCGUGAGCUCCCCUCUCAUACCCACACAUUGAAAUGUACCCCAUUUGAUACAAAAGCCUGAGAAUCAUUAGGUAGAUGCAUCCUUCAGAGCUGAGCUGAUCAUAAUAAUAAUACUUAGAUGACAAGCCACAUAGUAACUGAAUAAGUUCAUGAGCCACAACACAACAGAUAACACAGGAAAAAAAAGAAACAGGAGCAUGUGUAAGAACACAACACAAAACCACUUAUUUGCCAUCUAAAUACGAUGGCAUUAUAAAAGAAAAUGCAGGAAAAUAAGAAAAUAAUUCAAAAUCAGAAAUGUUUUCCAUUUCUGUAGCAAAUUAUGCCCUGAAAAUCCAAAGCACUUCCAAGACUCUUCAAAGCUGUUUGCAGAUUGUGAAUUCCAAAACCCCAGAGAGCCAACCACUGCCACUACAGCCUUGCAGAUUGGCAGAAGGAUGAAGGGGAUACAAACUUUUGUCCAUAGCAUAAUCUGAAAUAUGUUUAUCCCCUCUAUGCUUUCUCAGUAAAGCUGAGAGGAUGUGAUCCUCCUAGCAUGGAUUUUGCUCUUUUUUCUUUGCUAAUUCAAGAUUCCUAAGCAGUUCCUUCAGAGCAGGCACCUUUGCAGUGUUCUGUUGCUACAUUUGAGGGCUGUCCUGUUUCCCCCCCGUUCUUGUUACAUAACAGCAUCAUUUUCUGCUGGUUUACCAAAAAUUUAUGGAGAUCCAGAGAGAUUCAUUAACAUGCCCUGUUCACUAUUGGCACCCCUGAGCCAAGCAGCAAAUAGAAGCAGGUGGUACCCAGUGUCCAAAAAGAUACCAUGCAAAGCACUUGCAAGCACUCACACAAGGUCUGGUUUUGGCAAGCAAGCGAAGGCGUAAAGUUGGAAUUUUUAAAGUGAUAAGAGAUAGCCAAGCUUUCAUCACAUUUUAGAAAAAAAUGUCUCUAUGUAUCAUACCCCACAACAUCACCUAAUAAUUAAUAAAAGUCUCAACCACCACUAAGCCCAUUUGUAUGCCAUUUGUAAUCAUUGUUUCCACGGGAAUUUCUCUUUGCUUUAUUUCCCUUCCUGCAUUUCCCUCUGAACAUCCCUGCCAUGCUUUGCACGUUUUGGUUGCUACCAGAAUGGAAAGAGUAGUAAAAGAGAACCAGACUGGCAGCUGUAAAAAUGAAGUCCCCUGCUUCUGUGCCGAACAGAUGCCAUGUGUGCAUCCACAGGGCUGUGUUUAUCCGAGCAGCUUACGCUGCAUCAGCCCUGUUCUGCAAGACCAUGGCAGAGGGUGGCGAGAAAGGGAUGAUUUAUAUUUGUGCAUCAGACAUCCUAAUUCCCUCAUGCACACUUUCAAUAGAAAGAGACACCAAGAGCUUUAGAAAUGUGUUGCUAAUUAUACAUCUCAUCAAACGCUCAACACUUAUACUCGCGAUGAGCACAAAGCACUUGUCUGCUCUGCCACCUAUCCCCUUCCUGAGUUGUCCUUUUUAAUGGUCUCUUAUGUAAAGAGAGUUGGCCGCUUAAAUAUUUGAAAUCUGCCAGUUUUAAAAGAUUUAAAGUAUUUUAAAAAUGCAGAAUAGAU